GAAAAUACAUUUAAUGCACAAGGAAGCACAUCUCACUGCUUGAUCAAUACUAAGUUAAUGACCUAUACAAGCAGAUGGUCAUGCAGAAAAGACAGAUCAGCUCAAUAAGAGAAUAGCAGAUCCCCAAAAGAUCAGAGCAUGUGAAGUUUUCCUCAUAAUAAUGUCAGCAAUUAAAGAACACUUCAUCAUCUCACUAAAAAAGUAUUCUCUCAACAUGCUGAGAUCCAC
rnacentral:lncRNA from 1 species